UUCUCCUCCCCAUUUUUUCUUCUCAUCUGAGUUCUGACCCAAAAAAAAAAAGAAAAAAAAAAACAACCUAAGACAAGACCUCCAAAUCAAACGAAGUUUCCAUCAAUUAAAUUCGUUUCUUCUUAACCCUAGACUCGUGAAUCAAAACUACUCCUGAAAUCAAACCUAAUAUUUCAACAAACAAACCCUAGAAAUCGUUUUUUUGUUAAGUUGAAUGAUUGCGAAUCAAGCCAAGUUUUCAUAAAUCAAAACCAUUUCUCCUAAAUCCUAGUCCCGUGAAUCAAACCACUCCGGAAAUCAAACCUAAUAUCUUAAUAGACAAACCCUAGAAAUCGUUUUUAUUUUUUCUUUUUAAGUUGAAUGAUUUGUAAGGUGGGCUUGGAUGAUCCAGCCUGAAGUUUUUUUCUCUAGUGAUGAACUAAUGAAUUUUAUAGUUAUAAAUUUAUUUCCCUUGAUAGGUUUAGGUUUUUUUUUCUUAUAAUUAUCCUUUAAAUCCCUAGAUUUACAAAAAAAAAAGUCCUAAUUGUUUCUUUGUUUGUUAAUUAGGAGAUGAAGAUAGUUUAUGGUGAUUAUUUUUUUCUCUCCCAGUUUGAGCUCUUGGGGCUUUGCUUUGAUCUUCAAUUUCUUGGUUUUAAGGGUGGAGAAGAAGGGAUUUCUUGGUAUUGUUUCAUUAUUGCUCAUAAGGUCCUAAAUUUCCUACAACCGCAACCUUGGGUUGUGUAUUCCGUUCGUAGUUUGAUUGGUGUUUCAAUUGGUCGUCUUUGAGCGCUUAACUAUCUAUAACCGCAACCUUUUUAUGUCAUCUUUGAGCGCUUAACUAUCUAAGCUACCCAAUCAAAGUUCUCUUUAUGAUGUGCUGAAUUUCUUCUCAUAGGAAGUUAAGGAGUGUGUUAUUUCUUUCAUGGGCCAUAGCUUGUACCAUGUUUAAUUUCUCCACUAUUAUAGCUUGUAUCAUGUUCUCCUUUUUUUUUUUUUGAGUUUGCACCGCUUACUGUAGUCUUUGUCCCGUGGCUCCUGUCUUAUAGUACAACAUUUAACUUCAGAAUGCAGGUCAUAUUACCUACUAAUUCGAUGUUUCUUAUGUAUAUGAUGUGUUGGUCAGACAUCUGUAGUUCUGUACCUUGGUUUUAGAGGCCCAAAUGGUGCUGCAUCGGGGGUAGGCAUCUUCUUGAUAUCCAAGGGUUUGUUGUUGCUCAAGUAGUCUCUCUUUCUCUUCCCAUGUCUCUCUUGCACACGUAAUUAUUGAACAAAAAUUGAAUUUCUAGCGGUAUCUCAUUAUGAUAACAUCUGGGCUUAUUUUUCUUCUUUCUUUCAUGGAAGGGUAAUCCAAUUUUGGUAAUUCUUUGUAUACAGAUUAUACCCAUAAAGUGGACUUUCCACAGGGUUCUGGUAUUGUUGGAGUGGCAGCAAUUGCAGCUCAAUUACUUGUGGAGCAUUGAAGGAUUGCAGUUCUAUUCCAUGCUAACCGGAAGAGUGUGAGGACCUACGCCAGCGUGUGAAAGACGGUCAGAUGAAGAGGCUCACUACUUUGUAUGUUGAAGGGAAGGCUAGAGUUCUGCACCAGGAUAUCACAUGUCAUUGGAUUGAAAGAGAGCUUGUUAUGUUAUAAGGGAUGGCAAAGAGAAUAUCCUUCAUGACAGUCUUUCUUUAAUAAUACAUGAAGUUCUAAAAGCUUACCACGGCAUGACUAAUCUGAUAGACUGAAGUACUCAAGCAAUUAUCCUCCAUGGGUCAUUUGGUGGUUUGCGCUGGAGGAGUUCAAUCACUGUUGAGGUAUGGAGUUUCAAUUUGGAUAAAUGUCCCCUUAGAAACUCUAACUGCAGAAGUGACUGAAAGUGGAGAUAAGGGUCACUCGCCUUCAGACGAGCAAUGCAGUUGACAGUGAAGGCUCAAUUGCAACAUACUAAUAGGCGAUGACUCAAGAUCUAGUACCCUUGAUAAUAUCCUUCAUGUGAAGAAUAUAUCUGAAUGGAGAUCAAGGUAAAUGUCAAUUGUCUUUAUUGUAAUUUAUUAGUAUUACUAUUGUGAUUUUUUAGUUGUUUUCCUAAGGAAAAUGGUCUUAAUAAUGUAUAUGUAAUUGGAAAAACACAAUGAUGCAAGGAUUAAUUCUAUGGUUGGAUAUAUCAAGUUCAUGG